GCCUGGGUGGCUCAGUCGGUUAAGCGUCUGACUUCAGCUCAGGUCAUGAUCUCGCGGUCUGUGGGUUCGAACCCCGCGUCAGGCU
rnacentral:tRNA from 1 species